UUUGUCCCUUCUAACGACCCGUCCUUCGUCUAGCUUUCCUUUCUUCCUGCUCGCUGCUUGACUGGAGUUGUCAGGUGUCCGAUCAUCUAUAGGUACUAUGGAGCAGAUUAGUAAUAUCCAGGUGGUUUCCUGCAGCAGCUCCAAUUACUUGAAACCUUUCAGGGUUCACUACAGCCAGAAUGGAACCAAGAAAUACUGGGAUUUCAUGAGAACACAUGACAGUGUUUCAGUCUUGAUCUUCAAUACUACCUGUCACUGUUUCAUCCUGGUCAAGCAAUUCCGUCCCGCUGUGUAUAUGUGUGAGUGGGAGAAAAGCAAUCCUCAACACCCUGAAGUGGAAGCAACUGAAGGGGAUGAGACCCUGGAGAACCAGUCUGAGCCUCCACCAGCCAGUGCUGGAGUAACAUAUGAACUGUGCGCUGGUUUAGUAGACAAACCAGAUUUGUCAUUGGAAGAGAUAGCCAAACAAGAAAUCCUGGAGGAGUGUGGCUAUGAUGUGCCAGUGUCAAAGUUACGAAAGAUCACUUCAUAUAGAUCUGGAGUCGGCGUGACUGGAGCCAAACAGACAAUGUUUUACGCUGAAGUAUCUGAUGAGAACUGCGUUGGAGAGGGAGGUGGAGAGCCAAAGGAAGGAGAACUCAUUGAAGUGGUGAAGAUCCCUUUGCAAGAAGCCAUGAACUUUGCUUAUGAUGAAAGCAUCAGCAAAACCAUUGGGGUCAUCUUCAGCUUCAUGUGGUUUCACAGCCACAUGGCUCCCAAGUAUAAAAUCUCCACAAAUGUGUAAUAUUUGCUGAAAGUGAAUUUUAGCCUGAAGUGAGCAGUGUUUUGGAAAUGAUAGACUAGGUAUUAUUAGUGUUUUAUGAAAAAAUGUCAUUUGUGAUCCACAUUUUCCCCUGACCAAUUCAAGAUAGACAUAAUUGAGCAGAUUGCAAGAGAUGCUACUGGACUGAAGAACUGGUUGUUUUUAUUUCCUGUAAAAUUAUGAAAAAAACAAAUUUGUUCCUCUACAUGUAAUUGUAAAAACUAUUUGUAGCCACCACAUUCAUCAUUAACAGUGAGAUGAGAAUUCUUUGAGUGAGACCCUGUUAACCCUUCAAAGUGUGUUACAUUGGCCAGUUACCUGAAAGCUAAGCAGGCUGCACAUGGCAUGAGAAAGUCAAAGUGAACUGAAGCAUUUGAGCUCUUUGCUGCUUGAGUAGGGUCAUUCCAAAAAUAUCUGUUUCACCAUUAUUUUAUUUUAAACUGCAGUGUUUCCCUAAAUGCACUUUCCCAUGACCAGAGGUGCAUCCAGAGUUUUGUUAUUUCUGAGAAACUUUAAAAAAAAAUUUUCUCUUGAAUUUCAAAUCUUCAUUUUGGGGGGAUGCACUUUUAGUAUUCAUUAGUAACAUUGCUGUGAUUGAAAGAUUGUAAGGCACUGAAAACUGCAUGGUAGUACAGCAGAAGUCCAGGAAUUAAUAAUAUGGUUGCAUCAAUGGGCAGUGAAACCAAUUCAGUCAAAAAUGUUUUGGUAAUGUACAUCAGUGGUUUGAUUCUCACCAAAGAUUCAUACUCUAUGUACUACAACUUUACAGGAUUUCAUCAUUGCAAACAUGUUAAACAUAAAAUUUAAUCUGAAUGUAAAGGAUCUGAAUUGCCAAGCUGCAACUUGCUUGUUCUCAUAACACCUUAAACAAUGAGAACACAUCAUUUUAAGGAGACUGACAUGUCAGCUAAUGUGUGGAGAGCUCUUUAUUAAAGCUUGACAAUAGUGUUCUCUAUCAAAAGUCAUUGUGGCAUGUUUACAUACUUGGUGGUGCUGGUGAAGGACACUCAUUGUAAAGACUUGUUUUGAUGUUCACAUCUUUGCAAGUUUUUCCACUUUCUACUUCAAGAUUUUCUUCACUGGUUUUUCUCAAAGGAGCUGUUUUUGCUUUCCCGUGACUGCCACCAAAGAAAAAGGAAAGUUAAUUGAAGAAAAUGCACAUAUUUCACCAUAUUGUUAAAGCAGUGCAGCAUACUUCUCAGUUCCGCAGGACAGCUGGGAGUACAGCAGACAUGGCUUCUUAUUUUUUAAUCUGUGCCAAAUAAAAGUGUUUUUGAUACACUGGAUGUUUAGCAGACACUUUUUGAACUGUACGUUGUUCAGCAUGGGUUAUUUGUUAAAUUGGGAAGAAGCCUAAAUGCAAAGGAUCUGGGGGCCAUGAGAGUCAAUAAGUUCUGUAUUGAUUUUUACUGAUAAGACAGUGUAGGAUUGUGAGCUUAGAUUUGCAAAUGAGGCAAUUAAUCAGAACUGUUGCACAGAAAUGCUGGAGAGUGUUCGAUCUGUAAAGAAAGAAAAACAACAGAUUCUUCUCCAAGGCAGGUACUCAUAUAGUGCAGACAGGAUGGGAAGGAGUUAAACAGAUGUGAGCUUCUCAUAGAAGAAGAGUUUAAGCAUAUUAAUUGAUUGCAGCACACACUGCUUCGGUUUACUGAUGUCUUAAAUAGCAUUCUUCUUUUGAUGUUCAAAAUUAAAUGGUCUCUGGUCAUUCUGGCUCUAUGCGUUUAUUGAAACAUUGGAUUACUUUUUUGUUAGACAGUGUUGUUAAUGUAAGAGGGUACACGUCUGAAGCAUUUGAAUUCUGUUUCUAUUUUAAUGUUGGGCCUUGAAAAAGAUACAGUUGUCCUAGAGUAUACUGAAUGUAUAGACUUGUGAACACAAUGGCUUCCAGUUUUAAAAAUACUGGAAUAUUCCACUAUAUGUUGUAAUGGUACAUUACAUGUCGAAAACAUUACCAGUUGACCAUCAAUUUGCUCUUAACAUAGUACUUUAAGCAACAUGUAUGGGUGCCCCCAGUGCAUUGUGGAUCUGUAGAUGGUUAAAUGCAUUGAAUUCCUUUUUCUUUUGAUGCAGAACAUUAAUAAAUGUACUUGACAAAAUGUAUGCUAAAUUUGUGGAUUUCAUUGAUCCUUUCAGACAAUUUUGAUCCGAAUGCUGUUGAUUUAAUAUGAUGUUUCCAAUUAAUGUUACAUAUGCAGAUUCUAAAAUGCACUAAAUUUAAUUUUUACAGUAAUGCAACGUACAUCAAGAAAUAAAGAUGACUUCACUGAUUAGAUUCAGUUUUGCUUACAAAGACAUGUUUCAGUGCAUGGCUAUCAAAGUACUCUGUUUACAGUUACUACAUGAUGCCAGCAUAUUGAGUGGUGCAUGAAUUUUCAAAUUUGUAACAUUCCAUUUUCAUUUUGAUAAAAUUUGUUCAUAAAAACCUUCAGAUGACAGUGCAUGCCAGUUUCUAAUUGUGCUCUGGCUGAUUGAACCCAUACAAUGCUAUAUUGAUAACAUUGCAUGUUGGCUGCAAGCAAUGCAUAUAAACUAGAUUUCAAUAAGCUUCUGAUGCCAGAUAUUUAUAAAAUUAAUACUGUGCCUUUGCAUUCUGGACAUUUUUUUUAAUUUCAUAGGAUUGCACUUUACUUUUGAUGCAGAGAGUUUGUAAAGAUGAGAUGAUACCUGAUCAUGCUGUGUUUGGACAUGCUCAAGUCCUCAGCCUGCCAUUAUGAUGUUAAUGCUGAGUAUGGACAGAGGAACACAAGGAACUGAGUACUGGCCGAGCAGUAUUGGGUUCAAAACAGGAGCCAAUCUUUCAUGAGAUUAAGUUUAAAUGGAACCUCAAUAAGUGGACUCUAUGACUACAGACGGUACUUCUUCAUAAGGAGAAAAUGUUUCGGGGAGUCCCCAUAGAAAUACCUCCUAACAGCAGUAAACAUGAAUGAAAUCAAACCUUUGGAGAUAAGUUCAACCAUGCAUCCAUUCAGUUUCCAUUCUCCAAAUGAACUCUGACACAACAGGGUGAACCCUAACCCGAAAGUCACACAGCAGCUGGGAAAGGUAUCAUCUGUAUGCAAACAAAGGGCCAAUUUGUCAGCUGUCGUUCAUGACACAAAGAUAAAGCUGCUGACAAUAACAAAAACAUGAGAUUGAAGAGUUUGUUUGUAAGAAGAGCACUGUGUAUGGAUUUCCAAAAACUCUUCACUAUUGUGAUACCUGAAAUGAAAAAGUAAAAUAUUCUCCAUCUUA